UUCUAUUUAGUCUGCAGCUGGCAACUGGCUCUUCCGACCUUCUUAUGUUGACGCCAUGUUAAAACAGGUCACUGAUCAAACAUGCAAUGAUACAAACAACUGCUCAUGAGUAUAUCUUAUUAACUACAUUUUUUCUUUUCGCAGUGAUUCAGUGGUUAUUAAACUGUCAUCACGAUAAUAAGGACAUCUGAAAUGUGAAAGAAUGCCAUCACUCUGUUGAAUCACCACUGAAGAUGCUACAUAGCGAAGGCACAAGCUCUCUGCGUUGAAUUUUCCUAUGCGUAUCCACGCAAAGAUAGUUAAUAAAGAAUGUGAAAGCUCUA